UCACGCAAACGUGUAUGCUCAAAUCAUACACGUUUUGCAUUUUUUAAUAACAAACCGCGACGAAACAAACAAAGAAUGGCUACAACGCAUCACUUCCAACUUCGCUCCUCCGACAUUCGUUGCGUGACCUCCACGCUCCUCCGCUCUCUCGCCACCAGCCGCACCACUCUCCUCUCCCUCACCCUACGCCCCUCCUCCGCUCAUCUUCGCCCUCAGUCGCUUCGGUCAACGCCUCCGUUUCGCCUGCGGGCUUUCUCCAAUGGCUCUGGCGCCGUUGAACCGUUCGUCGAGAAGGUUGUAGAUAAUAAGCCGUCAAUUUGUACGGCGGACGAGCUGCACUAUGUCUCCGUGGCGAACUCUGAUUGGCGACUCGCGCUUUGGCGCUAUAAUCCGCCACCUCAGGCGCCAAAGAGGAAUCAUCCGCUGUUGCUGUUAUCUGGAGUGGGGACUAAUGCCAUUGGUUAUGAUCUCUCUCCUACUUCUUCGUUUGCACGAUACAUGUCUGGACAGGGAUUUGACACAUGGAUACUUGAAGUUCGAGGCGCUGGGUUGAGUGUGCGGGGAUCAAAUUUGAAAGAAGUUGAACAGUCUGCGUAUGCAGUAUUUGAGCAAAUGGAAGCUGUUGUUGAGGGGACAACUGAUGAAACUGUCAGAAAGAUUGCUGUUGAUGGAGUCAAUUCUGUGGAGCAGCAGCGGACUGAAGUCCUUGAUACCUUGACAAAUUCUAGAAUUUCUUCUGCUGAAGAAAAGGCAACGGGUUUAGCAGUGGUAUGGGAUGAAUCACAGCUGGUGACAAAGUUGACUGAAACUUUUAUGCGUCUGUCAGAAAGUCUCUCAGGCUUUCUCAAUGAAAGUCAAUCAAAGAUAAUGUCAGCUAAAUUGUUUGAUCGAAUAUCAAAACUCUUAGAAGAUUCUCAGUUCUCUGGACGCUUUAAUGAGAUAAGGGUAAAGCUGUCAAGCUUGUUGGAAACAAGGCAAAGCUCAGGUAUUGCUAGCCAAAUCAGGGAAUUGAGUGAAAGACUUGUAAACACCAUUGAAGAAGGUCAACGAUCUGUUUCACCUCAAUUGUUUGACUUGCAAGAGCGUCUUUUUUCAACAAUAGAUGAUUUUCAGAAACAGCUUGACCUGAUUGUGAAGUAUGACUGGGAUUUUGAUCAUUACCUAGAAGAAGAUGUUCCUGCUGCGAUGGAUUAUAUAAAUGCACAAAGCAAGCCAAAGGAUGGUAAGCUGCUUGCAAUAGGACAUUCCAUGGGAGGUAUCUUGUUGUAUGCAAUGCUAUCAAAAUGUGGUUUUGAAGGAAAAGAAUGUAGAUUGGCAGCUAUUGUUACAUUGGCAUCAUCUCUCGACUACACUUCUUCAAAUUCGACACUUAAAUUGCUUUUACCCCUUGCUGAUCCUGCACAGGCUCUCAAUGUCCCUGUUGUUCCUUUAGGGGCAUUGUUGUCAGCUGCUUAUCCACUUUCAUCUAGUCCUCCUUAUUUGUUCUCUUGGCUUAAUCAUCUGAUUUCAGCAGAAGACAUGAUGGAACCAGAGAUGUUGAAAAAGCUUAUCUUGAACAACUUCUGUACCAUACCUGCUAAACUUAUCCUGCAGCUUACAACAGCUUUUCGAGAGGGUGGCCUGUGUGAUAGGAGUGGGAAAUUUUUCUACAAGGAUCAUCUACAUAAAGGCAAUGUACCCAUCUUAGCUAUUGCUGGAGAUCAGGAUCUAAUUUGUCCACCUGAAGCUGUUGAGGAAACGGUUAAGCUCCUUCCUGAGAAGUUGGUUACCUAUAAAGUUUUUGGUGAGCCUGGGGGCGCACAUUACUCACAUUAUGAUCUGGUUGGAGGACGACUGGCACUGGACCAAGUCUAUCCUUGUAUAAUUGAAUUCCUUAGUUGUUAUGACUCAACACCAUGAUCAAUGCCCGAACAAUAAAAUAGUGUGCGCUUAGAAUGAGUAUCAAUGAUGAUGUGUCACCAUAUUAAUUCAAAAUCACCAAAUCACCAAAUCACAUGGUGAUACAUCAUCAUUAGUAUCUAAAUUGAUACUCAUUCUAAGUGCACAUAGUAUUAUUCAUGCUAUAGACCUUCUUUUCCCUUUUUACCACAGUGAAACUUGGUGUCUAACCAGCGGCUAUGUCUCCAUGAUUGAACUGUGAGACUGGAUCUUAUACUAUGCAACACCAUUGGGAAUGUAAAUGUGCAUUAGGGUGUAAGACUUCCAAAAUGUGGAACGCUGUGUCCUAAAUUGAAGACUAAUGUUAAAAAAGAACGAGUAAAUUGAAGGACACUUUUUGCCCGAGUUGAGAAUAGACAUGCUGGGCCAGACAGGAGACAAGACAAGCAUGAGUGCCAGUGUUCGAAAAGUGAUUGAUUUAUUGUAAAUGGAAAAUGCAAAGUGCAAAACAGUGUUGGUUUGGGGUAGAAAUUAGACUUUAUGCGGAAAUGAGAUGUUCGGUUCUAGUAGGAAAGACGUUAUCCGGCUGGUUUUGGCUCCAGUUUCCUGUUUCUAACAGAUUAUUCCUAUACGUGCUGAUUUGUUCAGAAUUGUGACCCAGUCUGUCGGCCUGGUUUAUACCCAAAUUGUAUUUCAACGUUGGAGGACAUGGUGAGGUCUGGUUCCGGUUGCAUCUCUGCCGGCUUGGUCAGCAAAAUUUGGACCAUUGUGUCAGUUUGAUAAUAAGUUAGAUUUAAAAAUAACUAGGUCCAUAAUAAUUAGAUCGUACAGAAUAUUAUCUUUAAACUAAUUUGUAGCAAAUCAGAACUUGCCGCAAGUAAUUUGGUUACGUAUGCAAUGAUGCUUGGGUGGGCAGGAUCCGGGCAGUGUGCUUGGAUUACUGUUUGAUUCAAUUUGAAUUGACUUUAAACUGAAAGAAUUUAGCUUAAGAACUAUGUUUUGU